rnacentral:rRNA from 1 species
CGUGUAGGCGGUUUACUAAGCCUGGUGUUAAAGGCCUUGGCUCAACCGAGGUUUGGCGCUGGGAACUGAUAGACUAGAGUUCAGGAGGGGGAGCUGGAAUUCCAGGUGUAGGGGUGAAAUCUGUAGAUAUCUGGAAGAACACCGGUGGCGAAGGCGAGCUCCUAGCCAUGGACUGACGCUGAGGCGCGAAAGCGUGGGGAGCGAACA